rnacentral:rRNA from 1 species
GCGCAGCAGGCGCGAAAACUUCGCAAUACGCGCAAGCGUGACGAGGGAACCCCAAGUACUCUUGCUUUUUGCAGGAGUUUUUGCCAAGUGUAAACAGCUUGGAGAAUAAGGGCGGGGUAAGGCCGGUGCCAGCCGCCGCGGUAAUACCGGCCGCCCGAGUAGUGACCACUAUUAUUGGGCCUAAAGCGUCCGUAGCCGGUUUUGUAAGUUUCUGGGUAAAUCCCACAGCUUAACGAUCCGAAUUCCGGGUAGACCGCCAAACUUGGACCGGGAGAGGUUGGAGGUACUUCUGGGGUAGGGGUAAAAUCCUGUAAUCCUAGGAGGACCACCAGUGGCGAAAGCGUCCAACUAGAACGGAUCCGACGGUAAGGGACGAAGCCCUGGGGCGCAAACGGGAUUAGAUACCCCCGUAGUCC